UGCUUCCUUUCUCCCUCGAUGCUUAUCUCUUGAUGGUCUUGCCUCCUUAUCAUGAUUUUAUGGUCAUAAAGAAAGAUAAUUACAUUUUUAUUUAUUUAAAAAAUAUUGUUAAGUGUUUCUAGCACUUUUAUAUUCUUAAUUGAUUAAAGUUGUUUAUUAAAAUUAUUCCAGUAAUCCUAUUUUUCUAUUUUUUACUUUUAUAAAUCUGAGUCAUUAGAAAUUAUGCAAACUUAUUUACUAAAAACUCCUAGUAAAUUUGGUGGUUUAGACAUGGAAUAUCCAACACAACUAUGCUGAUGUUGGAAAAAUCUAGCAACUUCUUCUAUCCUAUCAUAUCCUUUUAAUUUAUUUUAUUAGUGACAUUAUAAGUCUUUUUUGUAAUUUUUAUAGCUUUACGUGAAUAUGGAAUGUAAUGGUUUGUUCUACAAAUUGGUGCAGCCACAAUACUAUUAUUGAGCUGGCUAGAAAAGAGAUUCCCAUCCACCAAGGGCAAUUGCAAUUACUAAUGUUAACAGUUACAAUCUAUAUUAUUACACUGCA
rnacentral:lncRNA from 1 species